CCGACACGCUGGGUGGGGUCAGCUGCGCUCCGAACCUUGUUCCUUGUGGGUGGACGUCGUGCUAUCCCCACUCCGAGGCCGUUGGUGCGGGCGGUGAUCGCUGGAGCAGCCUUGAGCGGGCUCCACGUGGCGGCGUGCGGCUCAGGUUGAACUCCGCCAUGUUGCAGGGAUAGGCGGGUCGCCUGCGCCUGACGCCACCCGACUUUAGGGAGUAUUUGGGAAGACGGCAACAUGACGGGAUUUGGGCUCAUUGUUGUGCACCGUGUCACGGGCCAUAUUGGAAAGAAAAUAUUGAUAUUUCAUAUAUGUAUUAUUAAUUUAAUUACUUGUGUAAAUCAGUAGGUAUUAUUAAACAGUAUUAUGUGAG